GUGCUUGCUUUGGCAGAACGUAUACCGAAGUUGGAACAAUGCAGGGAAAAUUAAUUAUUAACAUGGCCCCUGUGCAAGGAUGAUAUGCAAAUUUAUGAUGCAUUGCAGAUUACA
rfam:Ailuropoda melanoleuca scaffold1068_106, whole genome shotgun sequence.